UGGGGAAUNUUGCNCAAUGGGGGAAACCCUGAUGCAGCGAUGCCGCGUGAGUGAAGAAGGCCCUUGGGUUGUAAAACUCUUUUGUCGGGGAAGAAAAUGACUGUACCCGAAUAAGAAGGUCCGGCUAACUUCGUGCCAGCAGCCGCGGUAAUAGGAAGGGACCUAGUGUAGUUUGGAAUUACUGGGNUUAAAGAGCUCGUAGGUGGUUAAAAAAGUUGAUGGUGAAAUCCCAAGGCUCAACCUUGGAACUGCCAUCAAAACUUUUUAGGUAGAGUGUGAUAGAGGUAAGUGGAAUUUNUAGUGUAGAGGUGAAAUUCGUAGAUAUUAGAAAGAACACCAAAUGGGAAGGCAACUUACUGGGUCACUACUGACACUGAGGAGCGAAAGCAUGGGUAGCGAAGAGGAUUAGAUACCCUCGUAGUCCAUGCCGUAAACGAUGUGUGCUAGACGUUGGAAAUAUAUUUUUCAGUGUCGCAGCGAACGCGU
rnacentral:rRNA from 1 species